rnacentral:ncRNA from 2 species
GCAUAGUUUCAGGGUUGGGUGCAAUUCCCUACCGGCGGUAACUGGCGGGUCGGCGCAAGCCGGCCGGACCGCGCGUCUGCAUAAGUCAGCGCGCGCCAGGAGCCCGCGACCCGCGUAAGCGGCUGACCUGGUGAGAUUCCAGGGCCGACGGUACAGUCCGGAUGGAAGAAACGGAGG